GACGAACGCUGGCGGCGUGCUUAACACAUGCAAGUCGAACGGAAAGGCCCUGCUUUUGUGGGGUGCUCGAGUGGCGAACGGGUGAGUAACACGUGAGUAACCUGCCCUUGACUUUGGGAUAACUUCAGGAAACUGGGGCUAAUACCGGAUAGGAGCUCCUGCUGCAUGGUGGGGGUUGGAAAGUUUCGGCGGUUGGGGAUGGACUCGCGGCUUAUCAGCUUGUUGGUGGGGUAGUGGCUUACCAAGGCUUUGACGGGUAGCCGGCCUGAGAGGGUGACCGGCGACAUUGAGACUGAGAUACGGCCCAGACUCCUACGGGAGGCAGCAGUGGGGAAUAUUGCACGAUGGGCGGAAGCCUGAUGCAGCAACGCCGCGUGCGGUAUGACGGCCUUCGGGUUGUAAACCGCUUUCGCCUGUGACGAAGCGUGAGUGACGGUAAUGGGUAAAGAAGCACCGGCUAACUACGUG
rnacentral:rRNA from 1 species